rnacentral:rRNA from 1 species
GAAUAUUGCGCAAUGGGCGAAAGCCUGACGCAGACACGCCGCGUGGAGGAAGACACCCCUAUGGGGCGUAAACUCCUUUUAUGUGAGAAGAAGGUCCCGGUCGCCGGGAUUUGACGGUACCACAUGAAUAAGCACCGGCUAACUCCGUGCCAGCAGCCGCGGUAAUACGGAGGGUGCAAGCGUUGUCCGGAUACACUGGGUGUAAAGGGUGUGUAGGCGGAGCUUCGAGUCAGUGGUGAAAGCCUGCGGCUUAACCGUAGAAUUGCCAUUGAUACUGUUGUUCUUGAGUACUGGAGAGGCUACUAGAAUUCGUGGUGUAGCGGUGAAAUGCGUAGAUAUCACGAGGAAUACCAGAGGCGUAGGCGGGUAGCUGGACAGAUACUGACGCUGAGGCACGAAAGCGUGGGGAGCAAACAGG